rnacentral:rRNA from 1 species
ACGAACGCUGGCGGCAUGGAUUAGGCAUGCAAGUCGAACGGCUUGGAGGGGGCAACUCCUCCAAGCAGUGGCGCAAGGGUGAGGAACACGUGAGUAACGUACCCCCAAGUUGGGAAUAGCUCCGGGAAACUGGAAUUAAUACCGAAUGUGGCCCCCUGCCGCAUGGCAGGGAAGCCAAAGGCUUGCCGCUUGGGGAUCGGCUCGCGUCCCAUUAGCUAGUUGGCGGGGUAACGGCCCACCAAGGCGACGAUGGGUAGCUGGUCUGAGAGGACGACCAGCCACACUGGGACUGAGACACUGCCCAGACUCCUACGGGAGGCUGCAGUCGAGAAUCUUCCGCAAUGGGCGCAAGCCUGACGGAGCGAUGCCGCGUGCCGGAUGAAGGUCUUCGGAUCGUAAACUUCUGUCACUGGGGACGAAUAAAUGACGGUACCCGGAGAGGAAGUCACGGCUAACUACGU